rnacentral:tRNA from 1 species
GGGGCUUUAGCUCAGUGGUAGAGCGCGCGCUUCGCAUGUGUGAGUCACCGGAUCGAUCCCGGUAAGCUCCA